rnacentral:rRNA from 1 species
AGGGUUUGAUUAUGGCUCAGAACGUACGCUGGCGGCACGCCUUAUACAUGCAAGUCGAACGAAGUAGCAAUACUUAGUGGCGGACGGGUGAGUAUGAUGUGGGUAUCUGCCCAUUGGUUUGGAAUAACACGGGGAAACUUGUGCUAAUACUGAAUAAGCCUUCACAGGGAAAGCUUUAUGCGCCGAUGGAUGAGCCUGCACUUGAUUAGCUUGUUGGUGAGGUAAAAGCUCACCAAGGCUACAAUCAAUAGCUGAUCUGAGAGGAUGAUCAGCCACAUUGGGACUGAGACACGGCCCAAACUCCUACGGGAGGCAGCAGUAGGGAAUAUUGCACAAUGGAGGAAACUCUGAUGCAGCGAUGCCGCGUGAGUGAAGAAGGCCUUUGGGUUGUAAAGCUCUUUCGUCGGGGAAGAAAAUGACUGUACCCGAAUAAGAAGGUCCGGCUAACUUCGUGCCAGCAGCCGCGGUAAUACGAAGGGACCUAGCGUAGUUCGGAAUUACUGGGCUUAAAGAGCACGUAGGUGGUUAGAAAAGUUAGUGGUGAAAUCCCAAGGCUCAACCUUGGAACUGCCACUAAAACUUUUUAACUAGAGUAUGAUAGAGGUAAGCGGAAUUUCUAGUGUAGAGGUGAAAUUCGUAGAUAUUAGAAAGAACACCAAUUGCGAAGGCAGCUUUCUGGAUCAUUACUGACACUGAGGUGCGAAAGCAUGGGUAGCGAAGAGGAUUAGAUACCCUCGUAGUCCAUGCUGUAAACGAUGUGUGCUAGACGUUGGAAAUUUUAUUUUCAGUGUCGCAGCAAAAGCGUUAAGCACACCGCCUGGGGAGUACGACCGCAAGGUUAAAACUCAAAUGAAUUGACGGGGACCCGCACAAGUAGUGGAGCAUGUGGUUUAAUUCGAAGAUACGCGCAGAACCUUACCAACACUUGACAUGUUCGUCGCGACUUUAAGAAAUUAAAGUUUUCGGUUCGGCCGGACGAAACACAGGUGCUGCAUGGCUGUCGUCAGCUCGUGUCGUGAGAUGUUGGGUUAAGUCCCGCAACGAGCGCAACC